rnacentral:lncRNA from 1 species
CUGGAUCCGAUUUUUUUCGUUCAACAGAGGAAUAAAAGAGGAACUGAAAAAUAGCAGUGAAUGCGCUUCACAAAACAUCACAGCUUCUCCUCCCGCCCGCGAACUGAAUUCUUUCCUGUCCGGCGGCUAGAGUUGAGGGGUAACAGGAGCAGUAUUUAUUGGACUGUUCGGUGCAGUGUCGUUGUUGCCACAAGAGGUUGCCCGAGUGCACUACAGUUUUGGUCUUCUUCUCUUCUUUCUCGAUUUCAAAGUCUCCAGCUUUUCUCCGGUCUUCAGUCAACCGGAACCUCGCUUAACUACAGAUCAAUGAUUCAGGCCACCAAGGCACCAACAGUGCUCAGCGCUUAACUACUUGGUCUGGCACUAUAAGAUUCCUCCUCCUUCCCCAGUCGCUA